rnacentral:snoRNA from 1 species
AAUCUAUGAUGGGAGCAUUUAUGUAUUAUUGCUUUAAAAUGCUCCCAAGCUUCGCGAAAGCUCUCUCCUUCUAAUUGUUUGAACGUUGGGAUCUCUCUCCUUAGUUG